rnacentral:lncRNA from 1 species
UGGAUCUCAUGGAGGCAUUCCCACAACUGAAGCUCCUUUCUCUGUGACAACUCCAGCUUGUGUCAAGUUGACACACAAAACCAGCCAAUACAGUAGGUGACCCCAGAGCAGCUGCAUUGCUGGGCCAUGAAUAGUCACAGCUGCUUCUGAUGAAGAUGGUGAUGGCUGGUAUGCUUAGGAGACCGUUUGCAACAAGUGCCCUGAAGACACCCGGGGCUCACUCAAGAGGAGUCAAUGGACGUAGCUGCUUGUCUUGGGGUUCAGCAGCACAAUCUUUAGGGUACGUAGAGGAAGGAAUGGGAGGAGCCUGAGACCCCUAACAGUGGACCUCUGGAAUAAUCCAUCAGUCUGUUGUACUCAUCUUUGGUUUUGUGGCAAAUGUUUUAUCUCUGAGUCAUGUCUAUUUCCUACUGCGAUGGAGGAUCAGCCUCUUGGCCCUCUCUGGUGGCUGUCCUUGGCUAGCAGAGCAGCGACUGUUCAGGUGUGGUGGUGGAGGAGUGACAUCUGCAGGCCUGGGAGGUCAUCUGUUACAGUAACACUGCAGCCUGGAAAAAAGGAACUCACCCGGUGGCUAAUGAAGAAAUGCAAUGCAGACUCUCAGAACCUCGGGAACAGCCGCUAAUGACAAACUGCAGGGAGAUUCACGAUCAUGGCUGCGGUGGUGAGAAAGGAAGGAUGCAGGGGAAGAGUGGAGGCUGGACUUCCACAUUCCCAUCCAUUUCUUUCAUGUAGAAAAUACUGGAGGAAGACUGGGGAUGGGGCAUGUGGCUGAAUAGUUGCUUUGUGUGUGUCAGGUCGUGGGUUCAAGCCUCAGUACUGAAAACUAAAAAAAUUAGAAUAAAUAUGUUCACGAUGUGAACGGAACAUAACACUAAUUGCACCGUGCACUGGAAAAUGCUGGAAACAUGGCUCUGAAAAGAUUUAUCUGGGUAGGGGAGCUGAAAAGAUGGCUUGGUGGUUAAAGGGGCUACUGCUCUUCUAGGGGAUCUCGGUUCCGUUUCCAGGAUGAGGCAGGAAGAUUACAAAUUUGAAGACAGUUCGGACAACAGAAUGAGAGGCAUCUUGUCUCAACAGGCCAAAGAGCAAACUAAAGAAAACAAGCAAGCAAACCAACAAAAAAAGCAAAACAACAAAAAAGCAACAGCAGCCAGCGUUUAUCAUGUUACGAUUACCCUGCACUGAGCCCGCCUGUUUAGAGUAUGCAGCUUGGUGAGUCCUCAGCUAGGCAGCUACGUUAUCCA